AUUGAACGCUGGCGGCAGGCCUAACACAUGCAAGUCGAACGAGUGGCGUACGGGUGAGUAAUGUCUCGGACACUGCCCGGUGGAGGGGGAUAACUAAUGGACACGGUUGCUAAUACCGCAUCCCAUCGGAUGUGCCCAGCUGGGAUUAGCUAGUCGGUGGGGUAACGGCUCACCAAGGCGACGAUCCCUAGCUGGUCUUCGAGGAUGACCAGCCAAACUGGAACUGAGACACGGUCCAGACUCCUACGGGAGGCAGCAGUGGGGAAUAUUGCACAAUGGGCGCAAGCCUGAUGCAGCCAUGCCGCGUGUAUGAAGAAGGCCUUCGGGUUGUAAAGUACUUUCAGCGAGGAGGCGUUACUCGCAGAAGAAGCACCGGCUAACUCCGUGCCAGCAGCCGCGGUAAUUC
rnacentral:rRNA from 1 species